rnacentral:rRNA from 1 species
UACGGGGGGGCGAAGCGUUGUUCGGAAUUACUGGGCGUAAAGGGCUCGUAGGUGGCCAACUAAGUCAGACGUGAAAUCCCUCGGCUUAACCGGGGAACUGCAUCUGAUACUGGAUGGCUUGAGUUCGGGAGAGGGAUGCGGAAUUCCGAGGUGUAGCGGUGAAAUGCGUAGAUAUCUGGAGGAACACCGGUGGCGAAGGCGGCAUCCUGGACCGGUAUUGACGCUGA